CUGCACUGGAACAUUUUAACACACAAAAUGAAAAAAAGUAAGAAAGGAACUGCACUGUUCCUAAAUAAGCCCCCAAAAAAUGUAUACAAUUUGUUUAAUAAGAUAAACAAAACAACAUUGUUACCUAUUCUUUUCAAAUUCUUGUUAGCUGUGGAUGCCAAAUUUCAGUGUUAGGGAGUCAGUCCAUGUGUUUGUAUGGGUGUGUGGGUGAGGGAGUCAGUCCAUGUGUUUGUAUGGGUGUGUGGGUGAGGGAGUCAGUCCAUGUGUUUGUAUGGGUGUGUGGGGGAGGGAGUCAGUCCAUGUGUUUGUAUGGGUGUGUGGGUGAGGGAGUCAGUCCAUGUUGGGUCAGUGUAGGUGGUCAGACCAGGUCAAACAUUCAGUGUUAGAAGUGGUUUUGGAUCCAUAAUGGACAAUAGGAAACAAAGUUAACAGAAAUACUAGAAUAUUUACAGAACAUAUCUAAAGUGUAGCUGUAGGCAGAGACGUUUGUAUGUUUCUUUAACUGAGGUACAUCUUCCUCUUCUAUCUCUUUUUCCUCCCUUCUACAUUUCCUUAUUCAUUAUCUCUUUUGUCAUCAUUCUCUCCUCUCUUGUUCUUCACUUUCUUCACUCCUCCAUCAGUCUAUUCUCUGUCCCCCUCAUCACUCUCUUCUCUCCUCCUCCACUCUGCUGCUCCUCUGUGUCUGGGCUGCAGUCCUCCUGGUCUUCAGGGGGACCUGGUUUCUUCUCCUGGUUUUCAGGUUCACAGUGAUCAGAACACAGACCAUCCCCAGCAGAGCACAGGCCAUCAGUGAAGAGUAAACUCUGUAGAACAUGGAGUUGAUGCCAAAGAGGUCCCUCUUCAGCAGGACGAUCUUGGUGACUGAAACACAUUCCUGACCACUAAGAACAGAACACCAGUAUUCUCCACUAUCUUCCAGUGUCAGGUUAGAGAUGACUAGAUAGGCAUUAGGGAGAGACACAUUUAUUUUCCCAACCAAAUCCUCAGGUAGUGGGAUUGUGUCACCAAUUAAUGUCAACAGAAUUAAAUCUGACCGCUGAGAAGUUUUUCUGAACCACCCCACCUCGUCAGAUAGAUCAGAGUUACAUGUGAGAACAACCUCCUCUCCCUCUGAGAAGAACUCUGUGAGGGGCUCAGACCUCGGACACACAAACAGUGUAUAUGAUUCUAAAUCUGCAUCAUCUCCA
rnacentral:lncRNA from 1 species